CCCUACGGGGGGCAGCAGUGGGGGAUAUUGCACAAUGGGGGAAACCCUGAUGCAGCGACGCCGCGUGGGUGAGGAAGCGCCUCGGCGCGUAAAGCCCUGUCAGCAGGGAAGAAAAUGACGGUACCUGAAGAAGAAGCCCCGGCUAACUACGUGCCAGCAGCCGCGGUAAUACGGAGGGGGCAAGCGUUAUCCGGAUUUACUGGGUGUAAAGGGGGCGCAGACGGCGAUGCAAGCCAGGAGUGAAAGCCCGGGGUCCAACCCCGGGACUGCUCUUGGAACUGCGGGGCUAGAGUGCAGGAGGGGCA
rnacentral:rRNA from 1 species